rnacentral:tRNA from 1 species
GGCGGUAUAGCCAAGUGGUAAGGCACGGGUCUGCAAAACCCUUAUCACCGGUUCGAGUCCGGUUACCGCCU